rnacentral:lncRNA from 1 species
CCGGUAUCCACGAACGUUGCUGCGCCGGGGCUUGCCGGCGGCGCCGCGCCUGGCAUCGGGGCCUGCGCAAGUGGCGCAGCUGCUGCAUGGCGGCCGCUCGGCUGCCGCGUCCCUGCGCCGUUUGCUGCCGAGCUGCAGCCCUCACACAACCCUGGUACUAGGGGCCUGCUGUGCGAGCUGCAGGCACGUUCACAGAAGGUGCAGAAGAUGCUGUGUCAUGACUUGUGUGUGAAAAAACAGUAGGAAUACACCAUAGAACAUGUAUAUACAUUUAUCUGCUUGUAGCAAAGGGAUUUUGCUGGAUGUAAAGAGCUGCUCCUUGCUGUUUGCCUUACUUUUCCAUGGGCAGAAACACAGAAUGGCUUCUUACCAUUUAAGAGCCUGUUGGAGUGCUGACCUGGAUUUGGGAGGAGCCAAGUAUCCUAGAGCUGUGAGGUUUUUCCUGUCAGAAAUCCAUUAUGGGGAUGUUUUCCCUGGCUGUGCCAAGUGGAAGGGACAGCUUUGGAGUUGUUGCAGCCACACAUUGGGGAUGCAUCCCCUGAAAAGCAGUUCAGGAUUGUUCAUCUGACUCUGCCCCUGACCUGUAGCUUCCAGGGACCCUCCUGGUAUCCUGAAUAUUCCCAGGAGAGGAUAUUCCACCACCUGCCUUUCGAGCCAGGAAUUCCAGACCCG